UGUGUUGCAUGAGUCCUUACGUCACUCGAGACGCUCUUCGGUGUCUGUUACCAUAGCAACGGUUUGUUGUCAGCGGAAGUGCGCCGCCUCUUAUAGCAAAAUGAGACUCAAGAGGUUUCUUCUGAGAUAUUAUCCACCAGGUAUAAUUCUAGAAUAUGAAACAAGAGGCUUUUUGAGGACCAAAUCAAUCGACCUUUUGGAUUUGACUCUCAAAACCGACCCUGAUGAGUUAUUGGAAGAGAUCAUGCAAUCAGAGCCUCUGAUCACCGAGUCCCGAGGUGAGCAAGUCAAAAAGCUCAUCAUUCGGCUUCAACAGAAACAGAGGCAGGAGGAUGACCACAAGUUCUCUUUUUCCAAGGAGCUUAAAGCACACAUACUGCCUCUGACUAAUGUUGCUUUUGACAAAUCAGGGUCAAGGUUCAUAACUGGGAGCUAUGACAGGACAUGCCGAAUAUGGGACACCACCUUAGGCAUUGAGCAGCACACACUGGAGGGUCACAGAAAUGUGGUGUAUGCAAUAGCGUUCAACAACCCGUUUGGAGACAAGAUUGCCACGGGUUCUUUUGAUAAGACCUGUAAACUUUGGAGUGCUGAGACGGGCAAAUGUUUCCAUACAUUUCGAGGCCACAUGGCAGAGAUAGUGUGUCUGGCUUUCAACCCCCAGAGUACACUGGUGGCCACGGGCAGCAUGGAUGCCACCGCCAAGCUGUGGGAAGUGGAGACUGGGCGGGAGGUGGCCACCCUCACUGGUCACACUGCAGAGGUCCUCUCUUUGUGCUUUAACUCAAUCGGCAAUCAGCUUGUGACGGGCUCCUUUGACCACACGGUUAUCAUUUGGGAUGUUGCUUCAGGAAGACCUGUCCACACGUUGAUCGGCCACCAGGCGGAAAUCAGCAAUGUUCAAUUUAACUGGGAUUGCUCACUCAUAGUCACAGGUUCCAUGGAUAAAACGGGCAAGGUGUGGGAGUCCGGCAGUGGCAAAUGUGUGGCCACGCUUAUCGGACACAAACUGGAGGUGCUGGAUGUGUGUUUUGAUUUACGGGGUCAGCUCAUCGCCACAGCCUCUUCUGACGGUGAGACAAUAUGUGGUGCACUAUAUUGUUAUAUUUAAGGAUGCCCCGAUCGAUGGGCCACUGAUCGGUAUCAGCCAAUUUCAAUGAAAAAUCACGUGAUCGGCAUGUGUUGAUAAAUGGCGAUCACCUGUGGCUAGUACUAGUGCAGCCUGCAGCGAUCCAUGCGUGCAGUGUAGUGUGUUGCCCUAACGAACGCCUUGGGCAUCGUGCUCGUCCCACUUUCCUUCACAGUGCGCAGACGUGCCAAAACAAAAACAUCAUGCCUGCCGUGUAGAACUUACACUACCAACACAUGCCACGAAAACUGUCUUGCGGGGGUAUCAUGUUAAAAAGCUUUAAUUUAAUCAAUACAAUUUGAAGGACAAACACUUGACGGAGUAUGGUCAGUUUUCAAGGCUCACGGUGUGAUCAUCAGUCAAACGCCAGCUAGUGCAGCCAUGUGGACACUCGCCCGUAUGUAAGUAAAUCAAAGACAUAACUAUAUAAGAAAUAUUAGAGCAAAAAUAUGACUGAAUUUGACAAUUUACAAGUAAUUUCUGGAAACAAAUUGAGCAAUAACUGUAUUGCUUAAUAUUGUUGAAUUAUCUAUGUUGUUAUUGUACUGUUGGUAUAGUUGAUUGUUGAUUACUUCAGCUGCAUGUUGUGUAUUUUGUUUCCUUGUCGAUGACAUGAUGUCAUCUUCAAUAUCUGUCCAGUACUCAUGUCUUUGACAAGUCCCUUGGCUUCCUCCGGUCCUCCAUUUAACUUGAUGUGGAUUUUGCAGUUUGCGCUCAAAGUGCCUUGAAUUUUCUCCCGCUUCCUUAAAUCGCGUGCUUUCUUAGCAAAGUUGGCAUUUUAUUUUGUCAGAUGCUAAUUCAUGUAAAUGCCUCAGAAAUCCCACCUUGUUUUUUUUGGGGUGGUGAACUUUAUGAUGAUGACAGGUGUGGCGUUACAUCUGCCAUGCAUUGGAAUGCAUGAUGCAUGUAUUGAUGUUGCUGACAUCCACAUCCACUCCCUUUAGGUGGUAGAAAGUUUCCCACCUGUUGCUCUGUUUAAGCAACAUCAUGUUCUCCUCCUCCUGUUAUCAGCUGCCCUAGCAUAAGAACUGCAUGAAAUGUGGAGCCCAGUCACGAUCACAUUGUUCCAAAUCAUCAAUCUUGCACAUCAUGAGAUCCUUUUACAUCAUUUUGCUUAUUUAAAGUGUCCACAUUUAUUUACAAAAUGAUGCAUUUUCAUUCUUCCAUUCCUUCAUGUGUUUCGUUAAGCAUGUCAUGUCGUCAUGCAGUUUAUCUCUUUGCUGAUUUCCUCAUGUUGAUAAUCUCCUUGCGAACUUGGGAGUUCUCCUUCCUCAUGUUAUUCAACAUCAUCAUUAUCUCCCGUAGUGCACCUGCUCUCUUCCAGAUCCUCCAAUGCAUUCACGGAGGCAGCGAGGGUUAGCUUGUCUUGCUAGUGAUUAUUGGCAAUCAUAAGACUUUUUUUUGAUAAGUUAGUUCCUCACGUCCGACAGCAUUCAAGCCGGUGGUGUAAUUCUCAAGAUCUGUGUAUGGGAGGAGCGGCCAAAUAGUCCAAAACUUUGAAAUCAGUGCAGAGCUCAGUCUGCCCUCACGGGGAGUGACAAGGCUACAUUAUGUCAUCUGUUUCUAGAUUGUCAGCUCAGCUCUAAUACUUAAUAGCCGGGUGUGUCUUCCAGUUGAGUAAACAAUGCCACACCUCAUAAAAACACCUCCAGUUUCCCCUAAGAAAAACAAAACAGGUGAUGCCACUAGGGCGUACCUUUUAUUAUGAUAUCUGACAACCACGGUGGCCGACAGAGGUUUCCUUCCCUAAAGGCAUGAGCGGGAUGCCCAGAAGACAGUUGGGGGAAUGAAAAGGUACACUUUUCUUUAUGUCUUUGUUCAACACUUGGCCUGGUUGCGCUAUCAUACUGUAAAACAUUAUGUCAUAAUCCCUCAGGUCUAGAGGCUAACUUCUGUUUUGUUCCGUGAAGUUGCAGCAUUUUUUGUCAUGUGUGUAUUUUUGGGCAUUUUCUUCUACAUUUUUUGGAUACUGCAGCGUUUAUGUGAUUGCAGCGUAUUCUAAUUUGCAGCAUUUUCCUGUUGCAGUUGUUUUGUCGUAUUUUGUGUCUUUUUGGUUUUGGAUCAUUUUUUGCAGCGUUUGGAUGUUUGCCCUCAUCAGCCACCAUAGAUGUCCUUGUGCAACACUCCCAGCAGACGUGGCAUCUGUAAAGCUGACACUUUCAGUGGAAUUUAAAGACAAGAAUGAGGGAGCGAUGUUUGAACCGCAAUUGUACAGUACGGGCCAAAAGAUUGGACACACUUUCUCAUUCAGUGCGUUUUCUGUGUUUUCAUGACUAUUAACAUUGUAGAUUCACCAAUCUAUGAAUGAACACGUGGAAUUAUGUACUGAACAAAAAAGUGUGAAAUAACCCUAAAUAUGUCUUAUAUUGUAGAUUCCUCAAAGUAGCUGUUUGACAGCGCUGCAAACCCUUGGUGUUCUCUCAAUGAGCUUCACGAGGUAGCCACCUGAAAUGGUUCUCACUUCACAGGUGUGCCUCGUCACAGUUACUUAGUGGAAUUUCUUGCCGUAUUAAUGGGGUUGGGACCACCAGCUGUGUUGUGUGUUUCCAAACUUUUGGUCUGUACUAUACAAUGAGGGAUGAUUGGAAAACACAUUUCUACAAAUAAAGGCCUCACUCCGAGCACAGCCAGAUUGUUCAGUGCAUCCACACACGAGUGUCUUACAACACUGGAGGGCCAUGAGGGAGAGAUCUCCAAGAUCUGCUUCAGUCCUCAGGGCAACAGGGUUCUGACUGCCAGCUCAGACAAGACCGCUCGUUUGUG